rnacentral:rRNA from 1 species
UACGGAGGGUGCAAGCGUUAUCCGGAUUUACUGGGUUUAAAGGGUGCGCAGGCGGAUAUGUAAGUCAGUGGUGAAAUCUCCGGGCUUAACCUGGAAAUUGCCGUUGAUACUAUAUAUCUUGAAUGCUGUGGAGGUAAGCAGAAUAUGUCAUGUAGCGGUGAAAUGCUUAGAUAUGACAUAGAAUACCUAUUGCGAAGGCAGCUUACUACGCAGAUAUUGACGCUCAUGCACGAAAGCGUGGGGAUCAAACAGG